GGUGCCAUAGCUCAGUUGGUAGAGCAAAGGACUGAAAAUC
rnacentral:tRNA from 1 species